rnacentral:rRNA from 1 species
GAUGAACGCUGGCGGCGUGCCUAAUACAUGCAAGUCGAGCGAACUGAUUAGAAGCUUGCUUCUAUGACGUUAGCGGCGGACGGGUGAGUAACACGUGGGCAACCUGCCUGUAAGACUGGGAUAACUUCGGGAAACCGAAGCUAAUACCGGAUAGGAUCUUCUCCUUCAUGGGAGAUGAUUGAAAGAUGGUUUCGGCUAUCACUUACAGAUGGGCCCGCGGUGCAUUAGCUAGUUGGUGAGGUAACGGCUCACCAAGGCAACGAUGCAUAGCCGACAUGAGAGGGGCAUCGGCCACGCUGGGACUGAGACACGGCCCAGACUCCUACGGGAGGCAGCAGUAGGGAAUCUUCCGCAAUGGACGAAAGUCUGACGGAGCAACGCCGCGUGAGUGAUGAAGGCUUUCGGGUCGUAAAACUCUGUUGCUAGGGAAGAACAAGUACGAGAGUAACUGCUCGUACCUUGACGGUACCUAACCAGAAAGCCACGGCUAACUACGUGCCAGCCGCCGCGGUAAGAC